GGGUUGUGAGGUUAAGCGACUAAGCGUACACGGUGGAUGCCCUGGCAGUCAGAGGCGAUGAAGGACGUGCUAAUCUGCGAAAAGCGUCGGUAAGGUGAUAUGAACCGUUAUAACCGGCGAUGUCCGAAUGGGGAAACCCAGUGCAAUUCGUUGCACUAUCGUUAACUGAAUACAUAGGUUAACGAGGCGAACCGGGGGAACUGAAACAUCUAAGUACCCCGAGGAAAAGAAAUCAACCGAGAUUCCCCCAGUAGCGGCGAGCGAACGGGGAGCAGCCCAGAGUCUGAAUCAGCUUGUGUGUUAGUGGAACGGUCUGGAAAGUCCGACGGUACAGGGUGAUAGUCCCGUACACCAAAAUGCACAGGUUGUGAACUCGAAGAGUAGGGCGGGACACGUGGUAUCCUGUCUGAAUAUGGGGGGACCAUCCUCCAAGGCUAAAUACUCCUGACUGACCGAUAGUGAACCAGUACCGUGAGGGAAAGGCGAAAAGAACCCCGGCGAGGGGAGUGAAAAAGAACCUGAAACCGUGUACGUACAAGCAGUGGGAGCACCUUCGGGUGUGACUGCGUACCUUUUGUAUAAUGGGUCAGCGACUUAUAUUCUGUAGCAAGGUUAACCGUAUAGGGGAGCCGCAGGGAAACCGAGUCUUAACUGGGCGUUAAGUUGCAGGGUAUAGACCCGAAACCCGGUGAUCUAGCCAUGGGCAGGUUGAAGGUUGGGUAACACUAACUGGAGGACCGAACCGACUAAUGUUGAAAAAUUAGCGGAUGACUUGUGGCUGGGGGUGAAAGGCCAAUCAAACCGGGAGAUAGCUGGUUCUCCCCGAAAGCUAUUUAGGUAGCGCCUCGUGAAUUCAUCUUCGGGGGUAGAGCACUGUUUCGGCUAGGGGGUCAUCCCGACUUACCAACCCGAUGCAAACUACGAAUACCGAAGAAUGUUAUCACGGGAGACACACGGCGGGUGCUAACGUCCGUCGUGAAGAGGGAAACAACCCAGACCGCCAGCUAAGGUCCCAAAGUCAUGGUUAAGUGGGAAACGAUGUGGGAAGGCACAGACAGCCAGGAUGUUGGCUUAGAAGCAGCCAUCAUUUAAAGAAAGCGUAAUAGCUCACUGGUCGAGUCGGCCUGCGCGGAAGAUGUAACGGGGCUAAACCAUGCACCGAAGCUGCGGCAGCGACACUAUGUGUUGUUGGGUAGGGGAGCGUUCUGUAAGCCUGCGAAGGUGUGCUGUGAGGCAUGCUGGAGGUAUCAGAAGUGCGAAUGCUGACAUAAGUAACGAUAAAGCGGGUGAAAAGCCCGCUCGCCGGAAGACCAAGGGUUCCUGUCCAACGUUAAUCGGGGCAGGGUGAGUCGACCCCUAAGGCGAGGCCGAAAGGCGUAGUCGAUGGGAAACAGGUUAAUAUUCCUGUACUUGGUGUUACUGCGAAGGGGGGACGGAGAAGGCUAUGUUAGCCGGGCGACGGUUGUCCCGGUUUAAGCAUGUAGGCUGGUUGUCCAGGCAAAUCCGGAUAAUCAAGGCUGAGGUGUGAUGACGAGGCACUACGGUGCUGAAGUAACAAAUGCCCUGCUUCCAGGAAAAGCCUCUAAGCAUCAGGUAACAUCAAAUCGUACCCCAAACCGACACAGGUGGUCAGGUAGAGAAUACCAAGGCGCUUGAGAGAACUCGGGUGAAGGAACUAGGCAAAAUGGUGCCGUAACUUCGGGAGAAGGCACGCUGGUGUGUAGGUGAAGCCCCUGCGGGUGGAGCUGAGACCAGUCGAAGAUACCAGCUGGCUGCAACUGUUUAUUAAAAACACAGCACUGUGCAAACACGAAAGUGGACGUAUACGGUGUGACGCCUGCCCGGUGCCGGAAGGUUAAUUGAUGGGGUUAUCCGUAAGGAGAAGCUCUUGAUCGAAGCCCCGGUAAACGGCGGCCGUAACUAUAACGGUCCUAAGGUAGCGAAAUUCCUUGUCGGGUAAGUUCCGACCUGCACGAAUGGCGUAAUGAUGGCCAGGCUGUCUCCACCCGAGACUCAGUGAAAUUGAACUCGCUGUGAAGAUGCAGUGUACCCGCGGCAAGACGGAAAGACCCCGUGAACCUUUACUAUAGCUUGACACUGAACAUUGAGCCUUGAUGUGUAGGAUAGGUGGGAGGCUUUGAAGCGUGGACGCCAGUCUGCGUGGAGCCAACCUUGAAAUACCACCCUUUAAUGUUUGAUGUUCUAACGUUGGCCCCUGACCGGGGUUGCGGACAGUGUCUGGUGGGUAGUUUGACUGGGGCGGUCUCCUCCCAAAGCGUAACGGAGGAGCACGAAGGUUAGCUAAUCCUGGUCGGACAUCAGGAGGUUAGUGCAAUGGCAUAAGCUAGCUUGACUGCGAGCGUGACGGCGCGAGCAGGUGCGAAAGCAGGUCAUAGUGAUCCGGUGGUUCUGAAUGGAAGGGCCAUCGCUCAACGGAUAAAAGGUACUCCGGGGAUAACAGGCUGAUACCGCCCAAGAGUUCAUAUCGACGGCGGUGUUUGGCACCUCGAUGUCGGCUCAUCACAUCCUGGGGCUGAAGUAGGUCCCAAGGGUAUGGCUGUUCGCCAUUUAAAGUGGUACGCGAGCUGGGUUUAGAACGUCGUGAGACAGUUCGGUCCCUAUCUGCCGUGGGCGCUGGAGAAUUGAGGGGGGCUGCUCCUAGUACGAGAGGACCGGAGUGGACGCAUCACUGGUGUUCGGGUUGUCAUGCCAAUGGCACUGCCCGGUAGCUAAAUGCGGAAGAGAUAAGUGCUGAAAGCAUCUAAGCACGAAACUUGCCCCGAGAUGAGUUCUCCCUGAGACUUUAAGUCUCCUGAAGGAACGUUGAAGACGACGACGUUGAUAGGCCGGGUGUGUAAGCGCAGCGAUGCGUUGAGCUAACCGGUACUAAUGAACCGUGAGGCUUAACCUUACAACGCCGAAG
rnacentral:rRNA from 1 species